rnacentral:rRNA from 1 species
GAUGAACGCUGGCGGCGUGCCUAAUACAUGCAAGUCGAGCGAACAGACGAGGAGCUUGCUCCUCUGACGUUAGCGGCGGACGGGUGAGUAACACGUGGAUAACCUACCUAUAAGACUGGGAUAACUUCGGGAAACCGGAGCUAAUACCGGAUAAUAUAUUGAACCGCAUGGUUCAAUAGUGAAAGACGGUUUUGCUGUCACUUAUAGAUGGAUCCGCGCCGCAUUAGCUAGUUGGGAAGGUAACGGCUUACCAAGGCAACGAUGCGUAGCCGACCUGAGAGGGUGAUCGGCCACACUGGAACUGAGACACGGUCCAGACUCCUACGGGAGGCAGCAGUAGGGAAUCUGCCGCAAUGGGCGAAAGCCUGACGGAGCAACGCCGCGUGAGUGAUGAAGGUCUUCGGAUCGUAAAACUCUGUUAUUAGGGAAGAACAAAUGUGUAAGGAACUAUGCACGUCGUGACGGUACCUAAUCAGAAAGCCACGGCUAACUACGUG